AAGUCGUAACAAGGUAACCGUAGGUGAACCUGCGGUUGGAUCAUUAUUGAAAUUUUAUCUUCAAUAGUGAUGUGUCUUGGUCUUUUCCAAUUCACACCAUUAUCACAACAAAAACCUUGUGAAUCUAUUGAAACAGUCUUUGGAGUGACUUGUCAAUGAAGGAACUUGUAUCUCUUUAUUGAAGAUGAGAACUCCUACUUAUUUAAAAACAUUUAUUACUUUCUAAUUGAGCCUUUAAAAGAUUUCUAAAGAAUCAAAAAAACUUUUGACAAUGGAUCUCUUGGCUCUC
rnacentral:misc_RNA from 1 species